rnacentral:rRNA from 1 species
UACGGGGGGGGCAAGCGUUGUUCGGAAUUACUGGGCGUAAAGGGCUCGUAGGCGGCCAACUAAGUCAGACGUGAAAUCCCUCGGCUUAACCGGGGAACUGCGUCUGAUACUGGAUGGCUUGAGUUUGGGAGAGGGAUGCGGAAUUCCAGGUGUAGCGGUGAAAUGCGCAGAUAUCAGGAGGAACACCGAUGGCGAAGGCAGCUCGCUGGGACGGUACUGACGCUGAGACGCGAAAGCGUGGGGAGCAAACAGG